CAGUAGCCGCGGUAAUACGUAGGGUGCAAGCGUUGAUCGGAAUUACUGGGCGUAAAGCGUGCGCAGGCGGUCCGCUAAGACAGAUGUGAAAUCCCGGGGCCUAACCUGGGAACUGCAUUUGUGACUGGCGGGCUAGAGUAUGGCAGAGGGGGGUAGAAUUCCACGUGUAGCAGUGAAAUGCGUAGAGAUGUGGAGGAAUACCGGUGGCGAAGGCAGCCCCCUGGGCCAAUACUGACGCUCAUGCACGAAAGCGUGGGGAGCAAACAGGAUUAGAUACCCCUGUAGUCCCUGUCUCUUAUAC
rnacentral:rRNA from 1 species